AUUGAACGCUGGCGGCAUGCCUUACACAUGCAAGUCGAACGGUAACAGGUCUUCGGAUGCUGACGAGUGGCGAACGGGUGAGUAAUACGUCGGAACGUGCCUAGUAGUGGGGGAUAACUACUCGAAAGAGUGGCUAAUACCGCAUGAGAUCUACGGAUGAAAGCAGGGGAUCGCAAGACCUUGUGCUACUAGAGCGGCCGAUGGCAGAUUAGGUAGUUGGUGGGAUAAAAGCUUACCAAGCCGACGAUCUGUAGCUGGUCUGAGAGGACGAUCAGCCACACUGGGACUGAGCCACGGCCCAGACUCCUACGGGAGGCAGCAGUGGGGAAUUUUGGACAAUGGGCGCAAGCCUGAUCCAGCAAUGCCGCGUGCAGGAUGAAGGCCUUCGGGUUGUAAACUGCUUUUGUACGGAACGAAAAGCCCUGGGUUAAUACCCUGGGGUCAUGACGGUACCGUAAGAAUAAGCACCGGCUAACUACGUGCCAGCCGCCGCGGUAACAC
rnacentral:rRNA from 1 species